UACGAAGGGGGCUAGCGUUGCUCGGAAUCACUGGGCGUAAAGGGUGCGUAGGCGGUCAGCACAAGUCAGUUGUGAAAUCUCCGGGCUUAACUCGGAAAGGUCAACUGAUACUGUGCGACUAGAGUGCGGAAGGGGCAACUGGGAAUUCUCGGUGUAGCGGUGAAAUGCGUAGAUAUCGAGAGGAACACCUGCGGCGAAGGCGGGUUGCUGGGCCGACACUGACGCUGAUGCGCGAAAGCCAGGGGAGCGAACGGG
rnacentral:rRNA from 1 species